GAGACUGCCAGUGAUAAACUGGAGGAAGGUGGGGAUGACGUCAAUCAUCAUGCCCUUAUGACCUGGGCUACACACGUGCUACAAUGGCCGGUACAAAGAGUUGCGAAACUGUGAAGUUAAGCUAAUCUCAUAAAGCCGGUCUCAGUUCGGAUUGUAGUCUGCAACUCGACUACAUGAAGUCGGAAUCGCUAGUAAUCGCGAAUCAGAAUGUCGCGGUGAAUACGUUCUCGAGUCUU
rnacentral:rRNA from 1 species